GACGAACGCUGGCGGCGUGCUUAACACAUGCAAGUCGAACGGAAAGGCCCUGCUUUUGUGGGGUGCUCGAGUGGCGAACGGGUGAGUAACACGUGAGUAACCUGCCCUUGACUUUGGGAUAACUUCAGGAAACUGGAGCUAAUACCGGAUAGGAGCUCCUGCUGCAUGGGGGGGGUUGGAAAGUUUCGGCGGUUGGGGAUGGACUCGCGGCUUAUCAGCUUGUUGGUGGGGUAGUGGCUUACCAAGGCUUUGACGGGUAGCCGGCCUGAGAGGGUGACCGGCCACAUUGGGACUGAGAUACGGCCCAGACUCCAACGGGGGGCAGCAGUGGGGAAUAUUGCACAAUGGGCGGAAGCCUGAUGCAGCAACGCCGCGUGCGGGAUGACGGCCUUCGGGUUGUAAACCGCUUUCGCCUGUGACGAAGCGUGAGUGACGGUAAUGGGUAAAGAAGCACCGGCUAACUACGUG
rnacentral:rRNA from 1 species